UACGUAGGUGGCAAGCGAUACUCGGAAUCACUAGGCGUAAAGCGCAGGUAGGCGGUUUGGUAAGUCUUUUGUGAAAGCUCCCGGCUUAACUGGGAGAGGUCAAGGGAAACUACCGGACUAGAGUGUGGUAGGGGAUACUGGAAUUCCUGGUGUAGCGGUGAAAUGCGUAGAUAUCAGGAGGAAUACCUAUGGCGAAAGCAGGUAUCUGGGCCAUCACUGACGCUGAGCUGCGAAAGCUAGGGGAGCAAACAGG
rnacentral:rRNA from 1 species